GGCAAGAUGGCCGAGCGGUCUAAGGCGUAAGUUUCCUCCGCAAGAGGCGGGGGUUCGAAUCCCCCUCUUGUCA
rnacentral:tRNA from 1 species